rnacentral:tRNA from 1 species
GCGGGGGUUCCCAAGUCUGGUCAAAGGGGCACGGUUGAGGGCCGUGUGGCUAAGCCUACGCGUGAUCGAAGCACGUCCCCCGCA